AGAUUAUUUUUCCUUGUCUCCUGUUUCUGUAGCAACCCAGUGCUGCCCUGGCUCUUCAUCUCUGCAAUGUGGACCAGCAGCCCCUCGCUGCAGAUUCCAAGGCCAUGGCGCUCAAUGUAGGGCAGGAACUUCAUCUCUGCAUCCAGUUUAACCCAGUUUAUGAGAACAAUCUGAAUAGCUGGGUGGCCAAGAGGGUUCUCCAGGAUGUGCUUCAUGGAGCAUCCUCAAGAGGAGCAGGUCACUGUUCAGGGAGAAGUCUACAUCCCAAAUCUCCAGACCCAGGCCAUGGACUUUGGCUGCAACAGGAAUGACACUGAACAAGUGCUGUAUAUGGAGAUGACCAACUGCAGCCCAAUUCCUGCCCAGUACCACUGGUCAUUCCAGACAGACAGCCAGACACCAUCAGCUUUACCUUCUCCUUCCGUGCCCCACGGUGACCUGCUGCAGAAUCCCACCUGGAGGCUGCGCUGGGGCUUCUCUGCCUGCCCGGGAUGCGCCUCACCAUCGCGGGCCGGUGGAGACACCUUCUGGGGGCCAGCAGAAAUGGUUCAGAUGAGCGGGAACGUUUCCUCUUAGAGAAUCAGGAGCUCACCUGAUGCUUAUAAAUCCCCUGGCUGCUGUGCAAAGCAUGAGGAACGAGAAGAUUUAAUGGCUUCUGUCGUCUGUACAAUCAGUGCAAGUCAGAAUAACCACAAUAAGGUCAGUGGAGGCUACUUCCAGGGUCAUAUUUUGUCCAGAGAGGGAAGUUUGGCUGCAUAAGGAUGAUCUGUACAAGGACCUGCUGUGCCAGCCUGCAGUGCUGAUUGUGGCUGGCCCUGGUCCACCUCACCUUGGAGCAAGUGGCAGAGGAGCUUUAGCACCUGCACCCUGAAAAACUGGAUGAGCUACAUCCCAUAGGAAUACUCUGGGAGAGGCAUGAGCCAUGUUGGAUGAAGCCUGAGGGGCCUCAGACCCUUCCCUGACUUUUCUUUUUGAGAUUAAUGGUACAGUUGUGGUCUGUGGGUUUCAGCAGGAGUUGAGGACUCUCAGUGAACUCAAAAAUCAAAUCUUACAAACAUCUUUGAGUUGUCCAUGGCUUGCUCCAAAGUGCCCUUUUAAUCUGCAUCUGGUAGCCUGAAGGAGCAAUUCAAAGUGCUGAUAUCAUGUAAGGCCAUUUAAAUACCUCCUGGGUGUGUGGUCUCUGGUGCUUUGUCCUGGGAUCCCCUGAAAGAGUUGGUGCUCUGUCGGGAGGCUGGUUUUCACACAGUACCCUGGCUGAGCCUAAUGGGUGGUCCCUGGGGGCCUGCUCUAGGGAAGCGGUAUCGACACUGUUGACUGUCCAGGAGUUGGCCUUGAUGGUCCUUGUGGGUCCUUUCCAAAUCAGGAUGUUCCAUCAAACCCUUGGAUUUCAUUUGGAAGGGGGUUGGUGGCUUGUGGUGCAUGUCCUCAGUGCUGGCAGGGACCUCAGGCACUGUCAUUACCUCUCUGUCCUGAUGUUGGUGGCUCUUACACAGCCUGAGCUGGCAGGGUCGUGUCAUCCCAUGUGACUUCACAUGAGGCUUGCAGAAGCAGUGUGAUUUCUAUCUGCUCUAUUUUG
ensembl:lncRNA